GCCGGGUGUUGUGGCGGGCGCCUGUAAUCCCAGCUACUCGGGAGGCUGAGGUGGGAGUAUCACUUGAACCCAGGAGACGGAGGUUGCAGUGAGCCGAGAUCCCACCACUGCACUCCAGCCUGGGCAACAGAGAGAGACUCCAUUUCAA
rnacentral:SRP_RNA from 1 species